rnacentral:rRNA from 1 species
GGCAAAGAAAAGUAAGGGCAAACGGUGGAUGCCUAGGCACAAUUGAGCGAUGAAGGACGUGGUAAGCUGCGAAAAGCUACGGUAAGGAGCACACAUCCUUAGACCCGUAGAUAUCCGAAUGGGGCAACCCGGUCAUGGUAAUGCAUGAUCAUCCCGAGAGGGAGGCGCACCCGGGGAACUGAAACAUCUAAUUACCCGGAGGAAGAGAAAGUAAGAACGAUUCUCCAAGUAGCGGCGAGCGAACGGGGAAGAGCCUAAAAUCUAUGAAUGUGAUAGCUUACAGGCGUUAUUCAUAGGUGGUAGUGGGACCUUUCAUGUACAGCUGUAACUGUACGUAAGGAAUUAUAUAAUAUAGUCGAAUCAGUUGGGAAGCUGAACCAUAGUAGGUGACAGUCCUUUAGGCGAAAUAUUAUAUAUACUUAGAGAGGCACCCGAGUAAGACGGAGCACGUGGAAUUCUGUCUGAAUCCGGCUGGACCAUCAGCUAAGGCUAAAUAUCAAAUUGUGACCGAUAGUGAACCAGUACCGUGAGGGAAAGGUGAAAAGAACCCUUGACAGGGAGUGAAAUAGAACCUGAAACCGUUUGUUUACAAGCAGUUGGAGUCUCCAUUGUGGGACAACAGCGUGCCUUUUGCAUAAUGAGCCAGCGAGUUGUCGUUAGAUGCAAGGUUAAGUGCGUAACGUACGCAGCCGAAGCGAAAGCGAGUCUUAAUAGGGCGUUAAGUAUCUAGUGGCAGACCCGAAACCAGAUGAUCUAUCCAUGUCCAGGUUGAAGUUACUGUAAAAGGUAAUGGAGGACCGAACCAGGUGAAGUUAAAAAUUCAUUGGAUGAGGUGUGGAUAGGGGUGAAAGGCCAAUCAAAUCUGGAGAUAGCUGGU